CGGGCGUUCCUUUCGUGUCCCCUUGAAAGCCCGGUCCUUGGGCUUGGAAUGAGACGGUUUGGGUAAUUAUGGGAGUGUGGCGAGGCUCAUGCCUGCUUUGGUCAGUAGAAUACAGCUGAAGUGAUGUUGUACCAGUUUUGCGUCUGGUCUUUACAAGCACUGGUAGCUUCAACUUUCUCCUUCUUGGUACUCACCCACCAUGUUGUAAGGAAACCCAAACAGCCACGUGGAAGACAGUUCUAGUUGAGCUCCCAGCCCAGAGCCUAUCCCAACUCUCCAGCCAUACCCUGACUUCCUUCAGCAAAGAGACAGCUUCUGAUUCAUGUUCGUCUCACCAUAAUCCAUUUCCCUCUCUGCAGAUACUUCCAAAAGUUACACUAGAUGUUAACUGAGCACUAAGGACACUACGUGAAAGACUGGAGUACAAACAUCCAAAGGACUGAAGAAUUUGAAGAGCACUGAAUGUGGGAGAUAGGACAGAGGAAAGGAGUCAAAUGUCUCCAAGAAACGAAGCCUGUGUGCCCUGGAGAAUGAAGAAGCAUCAUCAAAUCGGGGAGACUGAAGGAGGAAUCGGUUUUCAGAGAAAAACAAUUUAUAUUGUCUUAGCUGUGUUAGGUGGCAUACUAUUACAUUCAAGUGAAGCUGUGUAAUAGACAGAGAUGACAAAUUUUAUUCAUUUAUGAAUGCCCCCCAAAAUAUAUAUAUAGUUUUUGCCCUCAUGUCUCUUAUUGGGAUGACAGACAUAAAUCAAAGAAUUCCAUAAAUAAAUAUUAAAAUACAAUUUGUGAUAAAUGCUACAAAGUGGUACAUAUUCAUAUGGAAGCAUAAAGAGAACUGACCCGCU
rnacentral:lncRNA from 1 species